rnacentral:sRNA from 1 species
CUAAUUUCAAAGUUCUAAGUUUCCAAUUUCUUUGCUCAAUAUAUUUACCCAUCUGUUUGUACCGAGGUUGUAACAAUAAUAACUAAGGCGUUUGGGGAGAACGGAGUAGCUUCUUUAUUAAUGACGAACAGAAAAGAUGGUAACUUAACAGAACGGAAAACCGUAAGUACAAAACGGAGAACCGAAAUUACAGAACGGAAAACCGAAAGUACAAGUCGGAAAACCAGAAAAUACAGAAUAGAAAACGAGAAAGUAAGAGAUAACAGAGCUAGGCAAUUAUUCUCUCUUAAAUUUUCUAGGUAAUAACUCUUGGUCUGGACCCAGUUCCCAAUAGUGUCUUCUGCUAUUUAUAGGUUAGGAGAUGACCUAGGGUCUCCCCUGCGACUUUCCAUUUUUACCCUCUUAGGUUUCCAUUUUUACCCUCUUAGGUUUGUCUGGCUGGGCCGAAUUGAUGUUGUUGGACCGAGCAACUUACAUCUGGGCCGAGCCGGUCGAUCUAAUGGGUCGAUUUUCUGAUGGGCCUUUCUUUUGGUGGGCCGUUUUGACUUAUUUAUCUUGUGUUUGGGUCGAACUGGGCAUGAAGGGCAAGGCGCGUAUCCCACACCAUCUUUGAUGGCAAAUUUAAAAUUGGAUUAUCAAACUAAAAAUGU